AAUGUUUAGAGUUUAAUUUUUGUGCUUAAUUUUAAAGGCUUAACCUACCCAUGUCAUAGAGAAGCGCUCAAAUGAGGAGACCAACAACAACAACAACGCCCCAUCCUUGGCCCAUGUUACUGAGGUGCUCAUGAUCCUAAAGUACCUCAAGGACUUGCCUCAACAAAAUACUGCAACUACUAAACCAUGAAGUGAUCAUGCUCUGAUUAAAUAACUUUCUGGUUUAAUACAAAACAAACCAAUGAAGAACUAAAGCUGUU